rnacentral:rRNA from 1 species
UACGUAGGGCGCAAGCGUUGUCCGGAAUUAUUGGGCGUAAAGAGCUCGUAGGCGGUUUGUCGCGUCUGCUGUGAAAACCUAAGGCUCAACCUUGGGCUUGCGGUGGGUACGGGCAGACUAGAGUGAUGUAGGGGAGACUGGAAUUCCUGGUGUAGCGGUGAAAUGCGCAGAUAUCAGGAGGAACACCGAUGGCGAAGGCAGGUCUCUGGGCAUUAACUGACGCUGAGGAGCGAAAGCAUGGGGAGCGAACAGG